rnacentral:rRNA from 1 species
AUUGAACGCUGGCGGCAGGCCUAACACAUGCAAGUCGAGCGAGAGGCGGACGGGUGAGUAAUGUAUGGGGACUGCCCGCUAGAGGGGGAUAACUACUGGAAACGGUAGCUAAUACCGCAUACUCUCGGAUAACCAAUAUGUGAGUAGCUAGUAGGUGAGGUAAUGGCUCACCUAGGCGACGAUCCCUAGCUGGUCUGAGAGGAUGAUGAGCAACACUGGGACUGAGAAACGGCCCAGAAUCCUACGGAGGCAGCAGUGGUGAAGAUUGCACAAUGGGCGCAAGCCUGAUGCAGCCAUGCCGCGUGUAUGAAGAAGGCCCUAGGGUUGUAAAGUACUUUCAGUGGGGAGGCGUUACCGGCAGAAGAAGCACCGGCUAACUCCGUGCCAGCAGCCGCGGUAAUUC